rnacentral:rRNA from 1 species
AGUGAACGCUGGCGGUAGGCCUAACACAUGCCAGUCGAACGGCAGCACAGUAAGAGCUUGCUCUUACGGGUGGCGAGUGGCGGACGGGUGAGGAAUACAUCGGAAUCUACUUUUUCGUGGGGGAUAACGUAGGGAAACUUACGCUAAUACCGCAUACGACCUACGGGUGAAAGCAGGGGAUCUUCGGACCUUGCGCGAUUGAAUGAGCCGAUGUCGGAUUAGCUAGUUGGCGGGGUAAAGGCCCACCAAGGCGACGAUCCGUAGCUGGUCUGAGAGGAUGAUCAGCCACACUGGAACUGAGACACGGUCCAGACUCCUACGGGAGGCAGCAGUGGGGAAUAUUGGACAAUGGGCGCAAGCCUGAUCCAGCCAUACCGCGUGGGUGAAGAAGGCCUUCGGGUUGUAAAGCGCUUUUGUUGGGAAAGAAAAGCAGAAGGUUAAUACCCCGCUGUUCUGACGGUACCCAAAGAAUAAGCACCGGCUAACUUCGUG